rnacentral:rRNA from 1 species
GACGAACGCUGGCGGCGUGCUUAACACAUGCAAGUCGAACGGAAAGGCCCUGCUUUUGUGGGGUGCUCGAGUGGCGAACGGGUGAGUAACACGUGAGUAACCUGCCCUUGACUUUGGGAUAACUUCAGGAAACUGGGGCUAAUACCGGAUAGGAGCUCCUGCUGCAUGGUGGGGGUUGGAAAGUUUCGGCGGUUGGGGAUGGACUCGCGGCUUAUCAGCUUGUUGGUGGGGUAGUGGCUUACCAAGGCUUUGACGGGUAGCCGGCCUGAGAGGGUGACAGGCCACAUGGGGAAUAAGGUACGGCCCAGACUCGUACGGGAGGCAGCAGGAGGGAAUAUUACACAAUGGGCGGAAGCCUGAUGAAGCAACGCCGCGUGAGGAAUGACGGCCUUCGGGUUGUGAACCGCUUUCGCCUGUGACGAAGCGUGAGUGACGGUAAUAGGUAAAGAAGCACCGGCUAACUACGUG